GUAAAUACAACAGUUCCACAGAGCUGGUGCAGACCCUCACACCUAUACAGUCCAUGAGCACACUGAGGAUUCCCAGCAGCACUACAGAUUAAGGACACAACCAGAGCACCUUCAGGAGAAAAGCCUGGAGCUUUCACCAUGUGCCCACCACGUGAAAAAAAUGUGGCUUCAUUUCCCUGCUCUCCCCAAGAGGCCUCAAGCCUUCAUUCCCUCCAUCACAGCAGCUCCUGCAGUGGCUCCAGCUCUGCCUCUUCCAGCCAGGCUUUGGCAGGGGAUGAAAAGUCAAACUGCCUCCAACUUCCAAGGAAUAAAUGUAAAUAAGGAGCUCAGAGCAGGGAUCAGGGCUGGGAAUGCUGCAGGAUGGGACAACAGAGAACCAGCCUCAGGAGGUGUUUCUGGAUAUAACACUCGCACAUCUCUUUUACUCCACAGGGCAUCUUUGUUUGCUCUUUUUCUUCUUCAAAAGCAAAAGCUUUCAGCAAAACACAGCUUCCAGGGCUCAGUGCAUUACAGAGCAAGGUCAGAGGUCUCCCCUUCAAAGCAAGCCUUUUACAUUGGAAACACUGGGAAUGUGCUCUGUGCCAGCAAGGAAGGAAAAUAAGGUUGGCUGGAGGACCACUCAUCCUAGAUUUGUUUUCCCCCUACAAAGGCUCCUGCAAUGCUGAGGCAAUUUACUCACAGCCCUGCAAAUGUCGACACGGAUAUCUGGGGUCGCUGGACUCGGCUCUUUCACCUCAGAUCAGAUCCCUGAUGCUUUGGAAUAAAGCAGCCCCUUCAGGCAGCAC